rnacentral:rRNA from 1 species
UGGCGAACGGGUGAGUAACACGUGGGCAACCUGCCCAAAAGAGGGGGAGUAACACUUGGAAACAGGUGCUAAUACCGCAUAACCAUAGUUACCGCAUGGUAACUAUGUAAAAGGUGGCUAUGCUACCGCUUUUGGAUGGGCCCGCGGCGCAUUAGCUAGUUGGUGGGGUAAAGGCUUACCAAGGCAAUGAUGCGUAGCCGAACUGAGAGGUUGAUCGGCCACAUUGGGACUGAGACACGGCCCAAACUCCUACGGGAGGCAGCAG